UACGGAGGGAGCUAGCGUUGUUCGGAAUUACUGGGCGUAAAGCGCACGUAGGCGGCUUUGUAAGUUAGAGGUAAAAGCCCGGGGCUCAACCCCGGAAUUGCCUUUAAGACUGCAUCGCUUGAAUCCGGGAGAGGUGAGUGGAAUUCCGAGUGUAGAGGUGAAAUUCGUAGAUAUUCGGAAGAACACCAGUGGCGAAGGCGGCUCACUGGACCGGUAUUGACGCUGAGGUGCGAAAGCGUGGGAGCAAACAGG
rnacentral:rRNA from 1 species